GGAGGGUAUAGCUCAGUGGUAGAGUACUUGCCUAGCAUGCAUGAGGCCCUGGGUUCAAUCCCCAGUACCUCCA
rnacentral:tRNA from 1 species